rnacentral:rRNA from 1 species
AUUAAGGAAGUUUUUUUCGUAUACAACCAGGAAAUAGGCUUAGAAGCGGCCAUUUUUUGAAGACCUCGUAACAGAGCACUGGUUUAUUUCAAAUAAAGUUAAAAGCACCGAAAAUUUAACGGAUCUAAACAAUAUACCGAAAUCUUGUCCACAAAUAAGUUGUAUAAUUUACCAUAUAUAUAAACUUGUGGGGUAGCAGAACGUUGGGUAUAUCUUGGACUGAAUAUUUGUAAUAUUCAGUAAAACAGCUUUAGCUGGUUAAGACAAUCCCAAGUGAGAAUGCUGGCAUGAGUAACGAAAAAGGGGAAUCCCCUCGCCUUAAGCUUAUGGUAUUUUAAUUAAAGUAACGGCCCCUAAAUUUAUUGAACUGCCCUAAAGGAUUAAAUGAUGGGAAAAUCUUUGCAUUUAUCUAACAACACUUUGCCUCCUGAUCAGCAGCAGCAGACAGGAGAUGAGUUCAAAAUGUUCUGGAAAAAGAUUUAUGCAUGUAACCGUACCUAGAUACUACCACAAGUAAGCAAGUAGAGAAUACAAAGGCGUUUGAGAUAACAAUCAUCAAGGAACUCGGCAAAUUGACACCGUAACUUCGGGAUAAGGUGUGCCAUUAUUCCUAAAUUAUAUUAGGUAAAUAAUAGGAGACAUAAAAUGGUGUUGUACGACUGUUUAAUUAAAACAAAGCACUUUGCAUAAGAUGUCAAAUCAAAGUAUUGAGUGUGAUUUCUGCCCGAUGUUGGCUGGUUAACGGAUUUUCUUAGCUAACUUUUAUAGGCUAGGUUUUGAAGGAUACCCCAAUCAAUGGCGGCCUUACCGAUGAGGGUCCUAAGGUAGCGGAAUACCCUGGCCGUUAAAUGCGGUCUUGCAUGAAUGAUUUAACGAUACAACAGCUGUCUCGAUGAUUGUCUCAGUGAAAUUGGAAUAACUGUGCAGAUACAGUUUACCUCUAGUUAGACGAGAAGACCCUAUGCAGCUUUACUGUUACUAGUAAUUGAAUAUGAUCAAACAAGUUGUAGUGUAUAAGGUAGUUGAUGAGAUAAAAUUGAAACACCUUUACUUAGCUUAUCAUAUUAUUAGAAACUUGUUGAAAGCGGGUGCUUGGUGGAGUUAUGGCAUGAGGUUAUAACAAAACCAUUUACACGUUAGUAUAAAACUUAAAGUAACUUAUCUAUAAGAAAAAAAGCGUAUAUAUGUACGUUAAAGAGACAUUUGCUAGUAGAUAGUUUAUGCGGGGCACAGAUCCCAUAAAAAGUACCUGGGUGUAUCCAAAGUUAAUUUUGUAAAUUUCUAAGUUAUGUUUGUUCUUUUUUUUUUUAAAGGAAUAAUGCAAAUAUAAUUUACUACUAAAUAUGUAAUGUUUUUUACCAUUGUUAAAUAACAUAUCAUGUUUAUAUUUUAGUUUGCAAUAUUUUAUAAAAUAAUUUAUUCAAUUAUUUUUCUAUUAAGUUAGAUUUUCUAUAAUUUUUAAGUAAGAUUUUAACUAUAUGGAAAAUAGAUGUUGAAAUAAUAUCAAUUGCUAUGGUAUAAUAACUUAAUUAAAUCACACACAUAGGCAGUGUUAUUACUACUUGUUUUAUUACCUGCGGAGCAGGUAAUAGAAUGAUUUUUAUUCAACUUUAAAAGUUUAAUGGCUUAAUCUUGCUUUACUGUUUGACUUACAAGUCUAUCAGUCGCGUAAGCGGGGCAUAUGAUCACAAGAUGCAGAAAGGAAAGGUCUUGGAUUUUUGAAAAAGCUACGCUAGGGAUAACAGGCUAAUUGCGCCAGAGAGUACAAAUUGAGUGCGCAGUUUGGCACCUCGAUGUCGACUUAGCUCAUCCACAUGAAUGCAGGAGUCAUGAAGGGUUCGACUGUUCGUCGAUUAAAGAGCUACACGAGUUGGGUUAAAUACGUCGUGAGACAGUAUGGUUUCUAUCUUCUAG